rnacentral:rRNA from 1 species
AUGCAAUGCACAAGAAUCAAAGAUGAAUGCAAAGAACCAAACAAAACACACGACGAAACCCGGAAACCCUGGAAGGCAACUGAAGCUCCGGUCUUGGGGCGUUACAAUGGGUUUGAGGUGUUAGAGCAUGAUAGAUUCAAGUACACUGUGAAUUUGCAAACUAGGGUUUGUUCUUGUAGAUAUUGGCAGCUUUCUGGUCUACCCUGCUGCCAUGCAAUAAGCUGCAUCUACAAGAGCUCACAAUUGUUGGAUACAUACACAGCCGAGUAUUAUUCCAUUGAGGCUUACAAGAAAAUUUACUCUCAUGUGUUGGAGCCAUUGGAAGGUCAGUCAAAUUGGCCGGUUACUGAUCAUGUGAGGCCACAAGCACCUGGUUACAUCAAAAUGCCAGGAAGGCCAAGGAAAGAAAGGAAAAGAGAAGAAGGAGAAGCACCAAAAGGGAUAAAAAUGAGCAAGGUGGGUGGCCAAAUCACUUGCAGUUCAUGCAAUAGGACAGGCCAUAACAUGAAAAGUUGCACAAAUAAUGCUGCUGCAACUAAGCAUCAUGGAAAUGCACAUAUUGUCAGAGAAAGGUCAAGGAAAAGGAAACUAUAG